GAAAUAAACCUGCGAGCGACCUCAUACUCAACACAAACUCCAAAAAUUAGAUGCUUUCCUCGUUUUGUGGCGACGGCCAUCCGGUAUUGAUUUUUUUUUGUUUGAAAAUUGGAAUUUGAAAAAUGGCAAAAAAAAAAUCAGAAAGUUUUUUUUUUGAAAAAAAUUUUUCCGAAAAAAAAAAUAAAAAUUUGCGCUUUUUUUGAGGAAUUUUCAUGGAAUUUAUCGAUUUGCUAAAAAAAACAAAAAAAAUCACUAAAAAUAUUGUAAAAAUAUUCCAGAAAUCCAGAAAAAAGGCCAAAUAGUAUACAAAAUAUAAUAAUUUUUCGAAAAACUUCAAAAAUUUCACCAAAAAAAAAUCUGAAAACAAUUAGAUAAAAGUCACAAAAAAUUAGCCUGUUUUUGAUAAAUCACAAAAAUUUUCCAAAAAAAAAUUAACAAAAAAUUACGAUUUUCUGGUUAAAAAAAUCCAAAAAAUAGCUAGAAAUUUAUUUCAAAAUGAAAUUCUUUUUUUCAAUAUUCCAAUUUUUUGAAAAAAAUAUUUCAGAAAAAAUUAGAAGAAUUUCCAAAAAAAUCCAAACUUUUUCAAGAAAAAAAUUCCAAAAAAAUUACGAUUUUCUCGCGAAAAAUCCUUUAAAAAAUCACAAAAAUACAUUUAAAAUUUACAAAAAAAUCACUACGUUUUCGAAAAAAAACUCACAAUUUUAGAAUAAAAAAUUUAAAAAAAAAUUUUUUCUGGUAAUAAAAUCCAAAAAAAAAUCAAAAAAAAAUUCUGAAAAAGCCAUAAAAAAUUCAAAAAUUUUCCAAAAAAAUUGUAUUAAUUUUAGAAAAAAAUCACAAAAAUUUUCCAAAAUAAUUAACAAAAAUUAAAAAUAAAACCAAUAAAAUUACGAUUUUCUGGUUUUAAAAAAAUCCAAAAAAAAAAAACAAAUAAAAAAAAUUUCAGAAAAAAAUCACAAAACUUUCCAAAAGAAAUUUUUUUUUUAAUUAAAAAAAUUUUUCGAAAAAAUCACAAAGCAAAAUUAGAAAAAUCAUUUAAAAAAAAAAAUUACGAUUUUCUGGUGAAAAAAUCCAAAAAAAAAUCGUAAAAAAUUCAAUUUUUUUUUGCAGUUCUCAACGGGUCUACCGAACGUCUCAAUAUGUGCUCAACACACGGUGCUCGUCUGGGUUCCAGCCGCAUUCUUCCUGCUCACUUUACCAUUUCUAAGUGCUCAGUGUCAUUUGACGGCUCAACGAUUCGCGAGGCUUCCGUUCAGUGCUCAUUUCAUUAUUAAGCUUCUUCUUGUCGCUUUUCUCGCUGCCAACUCACUUGCCACGUGGUGUUAUGUGUUAUUCUCGAAGAAUUCAUACGCUGCUGCGUAUUAUGUUUAUCCAGGACUAUGGGUUCUUGUUUGG
rnacentral:sRNA from 1 species